ACAGGAUAUAUCUUAACUAAAGUCUUUCGCUUACACCGAAAUCAUAUUUGUUCAAAUCAAA
rnacentral:tRNA from 1 species